UCCUCUUCUUGUUUUGAUAUCCAAUGUUGUUUUUUGCUCUUUUUUCUCGAGAUUAUUUGGAUUUCUUUAAAAAAUCUAUUAUAUUUGCAGACAAAGAAGAAUGAGUAAAGCCGCAUUGUUAGAUUGGGAAACUCAUCAGAUAAAAUACAAUUCCGAGACACGCUCUUGGCGCUGAUGGCGGGCUGCAAUUCCUU
rnacentral:sRNA from 2 species